rnacentral:rRNA from 1 species
UGGGGAAUAUUGGGCAAUGGGGGAAACCCUGACCCAGCAACGCCGCGUGAGGGAAGAAGGUUUUCGGAUUGUAAACCUCUGUCCUAAGAGAAGAGGGGAAGACGGUAUCUUAGGGAGGAAGCCCCGGCUAACUACGUGCCAGCAGCCGCGGUAAUACGUAGGGGCGAGCGUUGUCCGGAAUGAUUGGGCGUAAAGGGCGUGUAGGCGGCUUUAUAAGUCUGGAGUGAAAGUCCUGUUUUCAAGAUGGGAAUUGCUUUGGAUACUGUAGGGCUUGAGUGCAGGAGAGGUUAUCGGAAUUCCCGGUGUAGCGGUGAAAUGCGUAGAGAUCGGGAGGAACACCAGUGGCGAAGGCGGGUAACUGGACUGCAACUGACGCUGAGGCGCGAAAGUGUGGGGAGCAAACAGGAUUAGAUACCCUGGUAGU